CUGAGCUUGUGCGGAACCUGGGCCGUCUUUGUUUGCGCUGUACUUUGGGUUACUUAUGAGGCUACCGGAGGACUGAUGAUAUGGGAGGGAUACGGGAGAUCACCGCCGCCUUUGAUCCAUCUCCUUUGGGGACGGUUGCUGUUCUUGGAGGUUCCGUGGACUAGAAUACUGGACGUUUCGCACUGUGAUCGCAGUGUUGGGUAAAGGACUUUCUGAGGCUUUGUUCACAACUGUGUUCUUAUACACCACUGAGCUCUAUCCUACAGUCAUGAGGCAGAAUGGGCUUGGCUACACCAGUUUUAUGGCACGUUUGGGGGCAUCAUUUCUCUUAUGCUCUUAGAAGAUGUGGAAGCUCCUCCCAGAGGUAAUUUUCUGCAUGCUGGCCAUCUUUUCUGGUCUCAUAGCUUGGCUUCUUCCUGAAACCAACAACGCAAGAUUACCAGAAACCAUAGAAGAUAUCGAAGAGAUGAGAAAAAAACCUAUUUGUUUCACAGAGGAUCAGAGUAACGUCCCUUUAAAAUUGCCCAUCUCUACAGACACAACGCAGUGAUCUGCAAAUCACUUCACAAGCACAAAAAUCCUUCAUCCUGCCAUAGUGACAAUUCUCAUAAGCUGUACUUGACAUCAGAUCCUGCCUUAACACCAUGGACAGCACUAGCUUUAGUAACUGGGCUCUGUUUGACAGCACCCUGGACAGCUCCACAUUACCUGAGUUUGUUCUCUGUUAAUGAGCUGUGGAAGGCUUCUCCCAUGAUUGACGACAAACAGUAUAUCCCACGUUCUCUUCAAAAUAUUUUGACCACAAAUAUGAUUAUAAAAUGAGUAACUCUGACUUAACUCUAUUUGAUUGGAUGAGUCAUAUUGUAAGUUAUUAUACAGACUGAACACGGCUAUCCAAUCCGUGACAUUAGUUAAAAUCAUACUCAUUCUGACAAAAUGAAUGUGACAUGUUUUUGUUUUUAAUUUAAUUUUGUAACCAGUUUUGCUUAUCUAAACUUUAUACCAAGUGAUUCUGCGGUAAAUACCGAAUAUUAGAGAGAAGGCUUGAAUGUAAGCAGACAGACUAUUUGUGACC